CUGCAUUAUCGAUAAUAUCGGCCAGCUCUGUUGAUGGGACAUCUUGCUCGCCAAAGGUCCCAUCUGUCAUUUUCGAUUUUUGUUUACAAAAUUGCACAUGGGACCUUUGGCAUGCAAGCGAGCUCUCACAGUAAUUUUGAGUUAAAUUAAUAAAAAUGGAUCCUACUCAAGACCAAUUCCGGAUGUUCAUACAAGCAGCAUCACGUCGAAGCCAAAGAUCCGCUGGCAGCAGUCACUAUGGUAGUCAACCUGCACCUCCGCAGAAAGAUGAUUCGUGCGAUGAAAAAUUCAAGCUACGGGAGAGUUGCAAAUGCCGAACCUGCACCUUCAAAAAAGGAUAAUUCAGUUUUUAAGCUCUCUAAGAGGAAAAGCGCUGAGUCGCCACGGAGCUGGAAGGAGCGCACUGGAACUUUUCAAAAUGUUUCAGGUCAGGAUGUGUCAUCAGUGUCUACCAAAUCAGCACGGCGCUCGUUGAAUUUCGAUAGUUUGCGUCCAAAUUAACUGCAGGACAGGUCAACAAUCCUUCAAAAACAGCAGCAUUCAUCGUGUUCCGUUUCAUGAGAUGAAAAUUUCAAGCUACGGGAAUGUUGCAAAUGCCCGUACAACGGAUUGGAUUUUGCAACAGAAUCACGCAAAGUACAACAGAUGUAGGUUAACAGUUUUAUCCAACACUCGAGUCAAAAGCAGCAAUCUCUCCUCUACAGUAGCCACGCCACCCAUAUAUCGAUCUUCGAAGUCUCACUCUGCAUCCAUCAAAGGAAAUGAUAAAUCACUGAGAAAACUGAUCAGUGAUUCAACGGCUACAGAAGAAAUUAUCGAUCUUGAUUCGAUUUCCAGUUACUGUAAAGAAAACGUCGUUAAAGCAAGUCACCAGCAGUAUCGAAAAAAGGUUAUUGAAGAAAGAGAGCAGAUCAGCCCAAGCCUGGCUUC